rnacentral:lncRNA from 1 species
AGGUGUGUCGAAACGGAGCGCUUUCUGCACACCUGUGAUGGGGCGAAGAAUCUCUCCUCUUCCUCCUUCCUUUCCUCCUUCUCCCCUCCGUCCUCCUCCUCUCCAUCCUCCUCCUCUUCCUCUGAGGCCGGGUUGAGUCAUCAUUCUGGAAACCUUCUCCAGCUCUUCCUCGGGAGGGAGACGCCUGCGUGGAAUGCUUCCCGACUUAACCCUUUUCUGGUGCUAAAGAUCGCCCAAGAGUCGGGACAAGAGGGGACAGGCUAUGGUUACCCUGAUUACUCUCUGCUGGACAGCCCAGGAAGGGCAGAGUCACGGACACGGCCCGGCCUUCCUGCAGGCAUCCAGAAAGCUCAUAGGAACCCAGGCUCCACCUAUACACUACAAAAUUUACGAGCAACCCAGAAAGAUCCUUCAGCAAUAAUUCCUACAUGGGCUCAACUUCUAGGUGCAGCCAGCUUUCCUUUAGACGUGCGGGGCCUCUGUGGACACCGUGGAUGGCAUGGGCAUACAAGAACUGAGAAACGCAUGCCCUGUCUUGUCACCAACAAAAGUGCCCCGAGACACCAAGCUUCACACACGCAGGACCAGAGUUCCCCUCAUACUCAGAGCAGCAGCUAGGGCAUCACAGCUGUUUUCCACGGCUCUUCCUGCAGCGUGUACAUGCACGCAGAAAUGGCCCUUAGGAGUCAAGGGGCCUUCUUCUUAUUUGCUUUUCUACAAGAUAACUUUCCCAAAAGAGCACUGGAGUUAGGAGGAGGAAGUCAGAGUUACAGGUGCAGCCAGAGUCCUGAUGGAGCCCCGAGUCAUCUGACUUACAGGGAUGAAUCUUUUGAGGCCGGCAGAGGGGCUGAGGAGGGUCAGGCUUGGCUGUUCAUGGCCACGGGCUGCUGAUUUAUAACCUCAGAAUGGGCUCCAGGUUGGAGCGAAUGCUUGAUUGAAUACUGCAUCUACCACAGGCCUCCCUCCAGGAUGCCUGCUUCCAGCCUCAGGAUGAGGGGACAGUGGGCUUCCCUGUGGUGGGUGGAGCUCCUUCUGGAGCGGGUUUAGAGCCCACCUGACCCUGGACACCAGGUACCUCCUGAAGAAGAGCUAGAAAUAAAGCAUCAACAGAGACGUCA